UACGGGGGGGGCAAGCGUUGUUCGGAAUUACUGGGCGUAAAGGGCUCGUAGGCGGCCAACUAAGUCAGACGUGAAAUCCCUCGGCUUAACCGGGGAACUGCGUCUGAUACUGGAUGGCUUGAGUUUGGGAGAGGGAUGCGGAAUUCCAGGUGUAGCGGUGAAAUGCGUAGAUAUCUGGAGGAACACCUGAGGUGAAGACGGGUUGCUGGGCCAACACUGACGCUGAGGCGCGAAAGCGUGGGGAGCAAACAGG
rnacentral:rRNA from 1 species